UACGAAGGGGGCGAGCGUUGUUCGGAAUCACUGGGCGUAAAGCGUGCGUAGGCGGCGAUGAAAGUUAGGAGUGAAAGCCCAGGGCUUAACCUUGGAAUUGCUUUUAAAACUACAUCGCUCGAAUUCGGGAGAGGAUAGCGGAAUUGUCAGUGUAGCAGUGAAAUGCGUAGAUAUUGACAGGAACACCAGUGGCGUAAGCGGCUAUCUGGACCGACAUUGACGCUGAGGCACGAAAGCGUGGGGAUCAAACAGG
rnacentral:rRNA from 1 species